rnacentral:tRNA from 1 species
CAGAGGGUAGUUUAAUUCAGAACCU